rnacentral:tRNA from 1 species
GCCGGGGUGGCCGAGCGGACAAGGCGCUGGACUCGAGAUCCAGUGCCCCCUUUGCGGGGCGCGUGGGUUCAAAUCCCACCCCCGGCGCCA